rnacentral:rRNA from 1 species
AGCGAACGCUGGCGGCAGGCUUAACACAUGCAAGUCGAGCGGGCAUCCUUGUGGUGUCAGCGGCAGACGGGUGAGUAACGCGUGGGAACGUGCCCUUCGGUUCGGAAUAACUCAGGGAAACUUGAGCUAAUACCGGAUACGUGCGAGAGCAGAAAGGUUUAUCUGCCGAAGGAUCGGCCCGCGUCUGAUUAGCUAGUUGGUGAGGUUAUGGCUCACCAAGGCGACGAUCAGUAGCUGGUCUGAGAGGAUGAUCAGCCACACUGGGACUGAGACACGGCCCAGACUCCUACGGGAGGCAGCAGUGGGGAAUAUUGGACAAUGGGGGCAACCCUGAUCCAGCCAUGCCGCGUGUGUGAUGACGGCCUUAGGGUUGUAAAGCUCUUUUCUCCGGGACGAUAAUGACGGUACCGGAGGAAUAAGCCCCGGCUAACUUCGU